rnacentral:rRNA from 1 species
UUAUACAGCGAAACUGCGAAUGGCUCAUUAUAUAAGUUAUCGUUUAUUUGAUAGUACCUUACUACUUGGAUAACCGUGGUAAUUCUAGAGCUAAUACAUGCUGAAAAUCCCGACUCUGGGAAGGAUGUAUUUAUUAGAUUCAAAGCCAAUGCCCUCUGGGCUCACUGGUGAUUCAUGAUAACUCUUCGAAUCGCACGCCCUUGCGCCGGCGAUGGUUCAUUCAAAUUUCUUCCCUAUCAACUUUCGAUGUUUGGGUAGUGGCCAAACAUGGUUGCAACGGGUAACGGAGGGUUAGGGCUCGACCCCGGAGAAGGAGCCUGAGAAACGGCUACUACAUCCAAGGAAGGCAGCAGGCGCGCAAAUUACCCAAUCCCGACACGGGGAGGUAGUGACAAUAAAUACUGAUACAGGGCUCUUUUGGGUCUUGUAAUUGGAAUGAGUACAAUUUAAAUCCCUUAACGAGGAACAAUUGGAGGGCAAGUCUGGUGCCAGCAGCCGCGGUAAUUCCAGCUCCAAUAGCGUAUAUUAAAGUUGUUGUGGUUAAAAAGCUCGUAGUUGAACCUUGGGCCUGGCUGGCCGGUCCGCCUCACCGCGUGCACUGGUCCGGCCGGGUCUUUCCCUCUGUGGAACCCCAUGCCCUUCACUGGGUGUGGCGGGGAAACAGGACUUUUACUUUGAAAAAAUUAGAGUGCUCCAGGCAGGCCUAUGCUCGAAUACAUUAGCAUGGAAUAAUGAAAUAGGACGCGCGGUUCUAUUUUGUUGGUUUCUAGGACCGCCGUAAUGAUUAAUAGGGACAGUCGGGGGCAUCAGUAUUCAAUUGUCAGAGGUGAAAUUCUUGGAUUUAUUGAAGACUAACUACUGCGAAAGCAUUUGCCAAGGAUGUUUUCAUUAAUCAGGAACGAAAGUUAGGGGAUCGAAGACGAUCAGAUACCGUCGUAGUCUUAACCAUAAACUAUGCCGACUAGGGAUCGGACGAUGUUAUUUUUUGACCCGUUCGGCACCUUACGAGAAAUCAAAGUGCUUGGCUCCAGGGGAG